rnacentral:lncRNA from 1 species
GAAAAAUACAUAAAUAUGACUAUAAUCAUAUUCGAAUAUGACUAUAGUCAUGUUACUGCUGUUGUUCAGAUCUGAAACUGUAUUUUCAGAUCUGGAAAAAGAAAACGAAAUAGAAAAAUACAUAAAUAAAGAUAGAAAAAUAAUGAAAGAGAGGCAUGGGGAGUCGACGACAACGGCGGUGGUAAAGGAAAGAGAGUGAGAGAGGCGGCAACGAUGGUGGUGGUGGACAAAUUCUGAAUAAACAAAAAUAAAAAAAAAAUAAAAAAAAAAACUGAGAAAUCGAGAAAGAUAACUAAAAAGGGAGAAAGAGCCUUACGUGGAAACGAAGGAGGAGGAGGCGACAUCGAGCGGCGACGGUAGUGGUGGUGUACAAAUCUAUGUGGAGACGAUGGUGGUGUAAAGAGAGAGAAAUCGAGAGAAACAACGACGGUGAUGCUGCUGUUUCAGAUUUGGACAACGACGAUGAGUAAAAGAGAGAGUGUGGUGAAUUUAUAAUUUUCUAAUUGAGAAGAAGAAGAGAAAUUGAAUGUUGGCCGGCCGGCUGUGACGAAUGCGCGAACGAACAACGGUGGCAUCUCCGAGGCGAACGGCUAGGUGUAGUGGGGUGAGCGGUUGUGAUCGGUGACUAGAGUGGACGGACUACGGUGGUGGUGCGGAGAGAGGAAG